rnacentral:rRNA from 1 species
UACGUAGGGUGCAAGCGUUGUCCGGAAUUAUUGGGCGUAAAGAGCUCGUAGGCGGUUUGUCGCGUCUGCUGUGAAAACUCGGGGCUUAACCCCGGGCCUGCAGUGGGUACGGGCAGACUAGAGUGCGGUAGGGGAGACUGGAAUUCCUGGUGUAGCGGUGAAAUGCGCAGAUAUCAGGAGGAACACCGGUGGCGAAGGCGGGUCUCUGGGCCGUAACUGACGCUGAGGAGCGAAAGCGUGGGGAGCGUACAGG